AGUUCUUCCCGGCCGCCGCCGCCUCCGCCCCGCCGCUUCCUCCUCCGCCUGCCGGCCUCCUUCGCCCCGCCCCGUCCGCGCAGCUCGUCCGGCCCGCCCGCAGGCCAGCUUCUCUCGGGAGCCUCCACCCAGGCGCAUGGCUCCAUGAAGCAAGAGGAGGAGGCAGAGCGCGAGAGAUCCCGUCCGCCCCAGCCGCGUCUGGGCCAGGAGAAAAGCAAAACCAUAUUCCUGCUGCUGUCAGUUUUGAUGCACUGAGAAAACUUCAGAGACCUAAGCUUUUUCCAGAGAAGAGAAGCUUUACUGGUGUUCCAGCCCUAAGAAACUUAAAUCCUCAGUGUGACACAACUCAGUCCUUCUACUGCAGCAGCUCUUUUAUAAAAGCCUCCCAAAGCUCCAAGAAGGAACAAAGAAUGUGACCCAGUAAGCUCACACCAUAAGUCUAUAUUGCAGAAACCUUUGUUCAACAAAACUGCAGAUGCUCUGUUGAAUCCACUGGAGAUUGUCCUGAUACUAAGGACAAGUAUGCUCAUAUGACAUUAACAGACAAGACACUUUUCAGAAAGACAGGCAACGUGUUGGACCUUCCGGAGCUUCUCAGAAGACAGAGGGUUUUCUUUUGAGGCUGUUGUACAGUGGCCUGAUUAUAGCUCACUGUAGCCUCGAAAUUCUGGGCCGAAAUGAUCCGCCUGCCUCAGCCUCCAAAGUAGCUGAGACUACAGGCUGGUCUUGAACUCUUGGGCUGAAGAGAUUCUCCCACCUCAGCCUCCCAAGGUGUUGAGAUUACAAGCAUGAGCCACCUCACCUGGCCAAGAGCUAGUUGUUAAA
rnacentral:lncRNA from 1 species